AGUUCCAGAUUCAAGAUCUCCUGACAGAGUACAAGUACAAACCUUUAAAACACAUAAAACCAUAACAGAUAGAGAUCUAUGGGAUCUGACAUUCACUGUCAGACCCUUAUUUUCAAAAAUUCCAGAUUUCAAAAAUCAUCAAAUCUGAGCCUCUAGAUGUUAUGGGUUUAACAUCUAGCAACCCAGAUCAUUGAUUAACACCCCAUACAACAUAUUUUAACAAUCAAUUAUAAGAUCUAACAUCAAAUCACAGAAUUUUUAAGUAGGAUUCUUUUAUACCUUUUUGCACCUUGAUUCUUGAUUUCUUGCUUCUGAUUUGAUGUUAGUGUUCGUGGGGCUUGAUUGGGGACUGAUCUAGCAAGGAAAUUUCGUGGGUUUGGUCUUGAGAGAGUAUGGCUAAGUGUUUGUUGCACAAAUAAG
rnacentral:lncRNA from 1 species